rnacentral:rRNA from 1 species
AUGCUUGUGAGACUCGGAUUCGUGGUAUUAGCAACCUUCGCCGCGUUCACUCUUAAGCGAGGCAAGGGGCCUAAGAAAGACAAUGGCCAAGCGGGCAAGAGGAAGGAGAAGGCUCGGCAUACUGGACAUGGGGAGAAAGAAGACGAGGAGGAAGAGGUUAAGACGAUCAGCGGCAUAAUCAACUCGGCCCCGUCGGUGGACGACGACGAUGAGGACGACAUGUUCUCGGAGAUCGAGAGCCUCCUGGGCGGGGAGGUCGACAUCCCGAUACCGGGUGACAGGUACGACGUCAAGGAGCGGUCCCGGUACAACGCGCACAUGGCCAACAACGCCGCCGAGAUGGAGCGGCUGCGUGGCCUGGUGAGGGAGCUGGAGGAGCGGGAGGUGAAGCUCGAGGGCGAGCUGCUCGAGUACUACGGCCUCAAGGAGCAGGAGACCGACGUCUCCGAGCUGCAGAAGCAGCUCAAGAUCAAGACGGUGGAGGUCGACAUGCUCAACCUCACCAUCAGCUCGCUGCAGGCCGAGAGGAAGAAGCUGCAGGAGGACGUGGCCCGCGGCGCGGCCGCCAAGAAGGAGCUCGACGCGUCCAGGAGCAGGAUCAAGGAGCUGCAGCGGCAGAUACAGAUGGAGGCCAACCAGACAAAAGGCCAGCUGAUGCUGCUGAAGCAACAGGUGAUGGGGCUCAGGGCCAAGGAGGAGGAGGUGGCCAAGAAGGACGCCGAGAUCGAACAGAAGCUCAAGAAGCUCAAGAACCUGGAGGUGGAGGUGCUUGAGCUGAGGAGGAAGAACAAGGAGCUGCUGUAUGAGAAGAGGGAUCUCAUGGUGAAGCUGGAUGCAGCACAAGGAAAAAUAACAGAGAGUGAUGUAGUUGCCCAUGCAAGAGAGGAGAUCAACAACCUGAGACAUACAAACGAGGACCUGACAAAGCAAGUGGAAGGCCUACAAAUGAACAGAUUCAGUGAAGUAGAAGAGCUGGUGUACCUGCGCUGGGUCAACGCCUGUCUGCGAUUCGAGCUCCGCAACUACCAGACACCAUCUGGGAAGAUCUCUGCCCGCGACCUCAGCACGAAGCUCAGCCCAAGGUCGCAGGAGAGGGCCAAACAGAUGAUGCUCGAAUUCGGGUCUGAACGAGGCCAGGGCGACACUGACCUUGACAGUGUCUCCUCCGCACCUUCUUCCCCCAGAAGCGAAGACUUCGACACCGCCUCGAUCGACAGCUCUUCCAGCAGAUACAGCUUCCUAAGCAAGAGGCCGAACCUGAUGCAGAAACUCAAGAAGUGGGGAAGGAGCAAGGAUGACGGCAGCUAUCUGUCAUCCCCGUCCUCGCGGUCCCUGACCAGUAGCUCUCCGAAGAGGAGCCAGAAACCAAAGGGGCCCCUGGAGUCUCUCAUGAUCAGAAAUGCAGGAGAUGGUAUGUCCAUUACAACAUUUGGAAAAAGGGACCAAGAAUCCGGUGACGCAGAUGAUGCAAAUGUUGCAUCUUCAUUCCAGUUGAUGUCGAAGAAUGUGGAAGGCUUUGCUGAUGAGAAGUAUCCCGCUUACAAAGACCGGCAUAAGCUUGCGACGGAACGGGAGAAGGCGAUCAAAGAGAAGGCCGAGCAAGCCAGGGCACAAAGGUUUGGUGGUGGCUAUAGUUCAGUUCUGGUUCCCUCCCCGAGAGCUGCACUCCCCCCAAAACUCGCUCAAAUAAAGGAGAAGAAGGCCCCUGCAGUUAAUUCUGAACCUGGUGAGCAAUCUAGUGAUAUCCCGAACAACCCCCUGGCUGUCACCCAGUUGAAGCUUGCCCAAAUUGAGAAGAGGGCCCCAAGAGUCCCCCGUCCACCACCCACGGCAUCGGCCGCUGCUGCUUCAGGAGCUACCAGUACCGCGAGCGGUGCACCACCGAUGCCGCCACGCCCACCAGGUGCACCUCCUCCACCACCACCUCCAGGGAGACCCGGUGGCCCUCCGCCGCCACCGCCGCCUCCCGGCUCUCUAUCCAAGAGCCUUGCUGGUGGUGACAAGGUGCACCGUGCUCCGGAGGUCGUGGAGUUCUAUCAGAGUCUCAUGAAACGUGAAGCCAAGAAGGACACCACCUCUUUGGGAUCAAAAACAUCGAAUGUUUCUGACAACAGAAGCAACAUGAUCGGAGAGAUUGAGAACAGAUCAACAUUCCUAUUAGCUGUCAAAGCUGAUGUGGAGACACAAGGAGAAUUUGUUGAGUCCCUGGCGAGUGAGGUCCGAGCAGCAAGAUUCGCGAAUAUCGAUGAUGUCGUUGCAUUUGUACACUGGCUGGAUGAGGAGUUGUCAUUCUUGGUUGAUGAGAGAGCAGUGCUAAAGCAUUUCGAUUGGCCAGAGAGCAAAACUGAUGCAUUAAGAGAGGCCGCCUUUGAGUAUCAGGACCUGGUGAAACUAGAGAACAAGGCCACAUCCUUUGUCGACGAUCCAAAACUUCCAUGUGAAGAAGCUCUAAAGAGGAUGUAUUCGUUGCUUGAGAAAGUGGAGCAGAGUGUUUACGCACUUCUUCGUACAAGAGACAUGACCACCGCACGGUACAAGGAGUAUGGAAUACCAGUCGAUUGGCUAUCUGAUUCAGGAAAAGUUGGCAAGAUCAAACUGGCAUCCGUUCAGCUUGCAAAGAAGUACAUGGAGAGGGUCACCUCGGAGCUCGACGCGCUGCAGGGCACCGAGAAAGAGCCCAACAGGGAGUUCCUGCUUCUCCAGGGCGUCAGAUUCGCUUUCCGAGUUCAUCAGGUAUGUACUUCUUAUCAACAAUAUGAGUAUUUACAGGCAAAUGGAAAUUUCAAAUCGAGAGCUUACGGUUCGCCAUUGCGCAGUUUGCCGGAGGCUUCGACGCGGACAGCAUGA